rnacentral:rRNA from 1 species
CCCCAGCGCCACAAGUGGGAGCCACGAUUAUUGGGCCUAAAGCGUCCGUAGCCGGCCUGUCAAAUCUUUUGUGAAAUCGAUGAGCCUAACUCAUCGACGAGCAGGAGACACUAACAGGCUUGGGACUGGGAAGGGUUAGAGGUAUUCCUUGGGGAGCGGUAAAAUGCGAUAAUCCUCGGAAGACCACCUGUGGUGAAGACGUCUAGCUGGAACAGAUCCGACGGUGAGGGACGAAAGCCAGGGGAGCAAAACGGAUUAGAUACCCGAGUAGUCCUGGCCGUAAACUCUGUGAGCUAGGUGUUGCGCAUUCUUAGAGAUUGCGCAGUGUCGAAAUGAAGGUGUUAAGCUCACCGCCUGGGAAGUAUGGUCGCAAGGCUGAAACUUAAAGGAAUUGGCGGGGGAGCACCACAAGGGGUGCGGCGUGCGGUUUAAUCCAACUCAACGCGCAGAAUCUUACCAGGAACGACGGCAGGAUGAAAGUCAGUCUAAAGGGCUUACUUGACGAGCCGAGAGGUAGUGCAUGGCCGUCGCCAGCUCGUGCCGUGAGGUGUCCUCUUAAGUGAGGUAACGAGCGAGACCUGUACCUACAGUUGCAACCGAGCUCAGUGAUCGGGCACACUGUAGGGACUGCCUUGGAAACAAGGAGGAAGGUGCAGGCUACGGUAGGUCUGUAUGCUCCGAAUUCCCUGGGCUACACGCGCGCAACAAUGGUCAGGACAAUGGGCUGCAACUCCGAAAGGAGAAGCUAAACCUCAAAACCUGAUCUUAGUCCAGAUUGAGGGUUGGAACUCACCCUCAUGACGUCGGAAUCCCUAGUAAUCGGGGGUCAUCAUCUCCCAGUGAAUAUGUCCCUGCUCCU